rnacentral:tRNA from 1 species
GCGGAAAUGAGUACAGGGGCACGAAUAGCAACCUUGCCAAGGUUGGGGUCGAGGGUUCGAAUCCCUUCGCCCGCUCCA